UAUGGUGGCAAUAGAGAAAUGCUCUUAUGAUCCAAGAGAGAAUUUUAGGGAGUCCAUGAUGGAGAUGAUAACAGCAGAUCACAUUAAAGAAGCCAGAGAUUUAGCCUACUCAGUUUUGAGGAAUGUGGAAUUCCUGCUAAGUUUGUUAUAAUUGAUGAUGGAUGGCAAUCUGUUGAUAUAGAUCCUAAUAGUAUUGAAUAGAAAGAUGAUAAUUAUACAAACUGGGUCUUCAUUCAUGGAAGCCUUGGAGGGCGAAUUGACCCAACUGGGUGCAAUUGACGACAUUGAAAAGCUACGAGAAUACUUGGAGAUUCUAGAAUGGCAGGUAUUUGGAGGAUCAUAUAAAAGCACAUUUGCUCUUGCUUACAGCCAAGCUCACCCAGACAAGGUGUACUAAUUUGUUAUUAUUAAUCAUAUUCUUUUUUAUGAAGAACCAAUUAGGUUGGUAAUGUAUAAUUUUUUAUUUCCCCAAUAUUUUGUUGUUAAUCUUUUAAAAUAUCUUUUAAGUUUUACUGGCAUGAUCCUCAGGAGAAUUUUCCUCUUAAGGAAGAAAGAUAUUGACUGGUUUUAUGAAGGUGGUGCUGUUGCAAUAUUCCGUGAUAUUUGGUAUAUUUAGAGCAUUCCUUUUUAUUUAUUUAUCUGGGAUUAUGUUUAAAUAUCUUUAGCACAGUGAACUUUCAUUUCGAAGUGAAGACAAUUUGACUUAUUUAAUAUAUGGAACUAUGUUGAAACUUUAUUUUAUGCCACUUUCAUUGCAUGUCAAAGAUUUCAAUUUUUCUAUUGAGGAAAUUUUUCUUUAAUGAUUUUACACAUUGAUUCAAUCACAUGACUUGGUUGUUGUUUAAUGCAUGGUUAGUGUUUAAGGUGGUUGGACAAAACCCUUUUUAUUAUGAAUAUAGCACAUUGCUAUUUGGAUGGCAAUGCUGAUGCUGUGGAAUUCUGUUCAUAAGAUUCGUACCACCAUGUUCUAACUGUCUUUACAUACAAUCUCCAACAACGUGGUCACCUCAGUCAACAUGGAAGCAUUUAGUUUAUAAUAAAAAGCUUUUUUGAUAGAUUUUGAAAAUGUAAAAUCAAUAAUAUUAUAUCCCAAGAUUAGGCUUGUCCUAAAAAUGCUAUCAAUUAUUAACCUUUGUUUUAGUAUUUAUGUUAACUUAUUAUUCCAUAUACAGCUUGAUUGUUUUUGUGUGAUGGUUGUGGUUGAAGCAUGUGAUUUUCAUUUUCAUUUUUAUUUUUGGUGUUGGUGUGUGGCAUUCAAUAGAUAGAUCGGUACCAAAAGGUAGACAAGUCAAUGGCAGAAAUGCCAAUGGAUAAAAACGAGAUCAGUAUCACAAGUCAGGGAAGGGUGAGCAACUACAUUACUUAUGCCAUGACCUUGCUUCAGGCUCCUUAUCUUCGUCCUUUCUAUUUACUCUUUCAUUAGCACAUCUUGCAACAAACUACUAUCGCCUCUGUUCGUUUAGAACGUUUGGUGUUGUGAUUAUACUUCUUUCUUUUAUUCCUUGGAUAAAAUAAAAAUUACCUUGAAAUGAUCUGGGGAAUUUACAAGAAGAAAAGAAUCAUGCUUAGCUACUACAGGGCGAACAUUGAGUGUUUUUUUUUUUUAAUUUAAAAUUCAAUUAUGAAUCUAAACUAAGUACAUGUUUGGCAAAUAGUUCUUUUUAUUUUCAGAACCUGUUUCGGGAACACAUUAUAUUGUAAACAUUUUUGGACCUAAAAAAUGUCAAAACAAAAUCAAACUUAAAUUGUGGAAAAUGUAUCUAGAUGAAUUUGACAUGUUAUGUAUCUAUUGAUGUUGUGAGGACCAUUUUGUACAGGUUUUUGCUCAGAUUAUAUUGUUUGCCUCUUCAUUGGAAAGGUUUUCAAUAAAAUUAUUUUCAAAGCAAUGGGUAGAGCUAUCAACAAAAUUGUAACAAUUGUGGAGUUGAUCAACGUCUGAUCAUUUUGUAAUUGGCUGAGCUGGGCUAUUUGGGGAGUAAUCAAAUAAUACACAGAAGAACACACAAAUUGGAUCCGGUAACAUCAUUGGUACUUGGGAGCCUCUAGACGAAGGCCUCCUUCUAUAUGUGCAGUUUCUGAAUAGUAUUUUAAUUAAAAUGUUCAGUAUUCCAUUUAGGUUUUACUUUUAUUUUAUUUUAUUUAUUUAUUUGAUACUGUUCAUGAUGCAAUUUGGGGACCACAAGGCAUGUACCAUUUGAUAACAAUAACCCUUUCAAAGAAGGAAACAAUACAUCAUCUGUGGGUAGGUUACAAGAAGUGGUUAUGGUGGAUUUGUUCAAGACAACAUUUUGGAAGUUCCUUAUUUUGACUAUAGUUGUUCAUGCACUUUGGUUUUAUCAACAUGCAGAGGACUUUGGAUAUUUAACAGGUAUCGAUCACCAUUACCAGUUGACUAAGUGAAGGCAUCAAGUAUUUUGAUUAUGGAGAGAGUUCACCAAAUGGCCGAAUUCAAGGUCGUGGUGGAUGAGGAAGAGAAAGGACCAGAGGUAUUGAUUUUAUUGCAGCUGAUUACGAGGAUGGAGGCUGGGAUCGCAACAUGGAAAAUGCUAGGGGUUAAGGGGCAGAAGACAAAGAAUUAUAUAUCUUGCAGUGUUGAUUAUUUUGAGGAUUGUCGUAAAAUACUUGAUAGUAUAUUAUAUUUAAAUCUUGCUACAUAUUGCAUUUAUCAAACUUUAUGUCAAUACUUUUGUCUA